GAGUGUACUUGCGAGGUCAUGCAGUAAGUGCAUGUUUAGUUUUAUAAGAAACUGCCAGAAUUGUUUCCAGACCCUUACCAUUUUACGUUCCCACCAACAAUGUAUUAAAAAUCCCAUUUCCCACAUCUUUGACAACAUUUGGCAUUACUCUUCUAUAUUUUAGCCCUUCUAGUCGGUGUACAGUGGUAGCUUACUGUGGUUUUAAUUUGUCUUUCCCUAAUGGCUAAUGAUGUCGAACAUGUGUUCAUGUGCAGCUUUGCCGUCUGUAUAUCCUCUCUGGUGAAAUUCUGUUCACGUCUUUUGCUCAUUUUCUAAUUGGAUCAUUUGUUUAUUACUGUUAAAUUCUGAGAGUUCUUUAUAUAUUCUAGAUACCAAUUCUUUGUUGGAUAUGUGGAUUGUAAGUAUUUUCUCCCAGUCUGUAGCCUGUCUUUUCAUCCUCUUAAUGGGGUCUGUUAUAGAACGAGGUUUUAAUUUUGGUGAAGUCCAAUUAUAAUGGUUUUUCUGGUAUGAGAGAAGUCAGGAUGGUGGCGUAGGCAGGCUCUGAACUCACCUCCUCCCGCAGACACAGCCAAUUUACAACUACUCGUGGAAAAAUUACCCCUGAGACAGAACUGAAAACUGGAUAAGAGGAACUCCUGCAACAAAGGACAAUCCUAAUUGAGGUGGAAGAGGCAGAAACUCCCUUCUGGAGAGAAAAAACACUGCCUUCACAAGCCGCCAGCUUCAUGACCACCCGGGAGCAGGCCAAAGAGUUUGGUGACUUGGAUGGGAUAAAACUUUACUGGCUGGACGCUACUCACUCCUGGGCUAUUGCAGAUGAGAGAUCCUGGACCCCUGACAAGAGCUGCCAGGAGAAUAAUUGAGAAAUGAAACCACCCUUGUUCCUGAAGCCCUGCAAACUGAAGCUGGAGAACUUGAUAUAAACUUAAGAGAGAUCAGCAUGAUAGCAUGCCUGUUGCUAUGUAAGCCACUCAAAAGAUACCUGAAUCCCCGAUGACAUCAUCAGAGACAUUUCAAACUGCCAAAGAUGCUUCGACCCUGACAUCUAGAAAUCUUCUUGACUGACUGUCCCCAGGACUCAGAAACUGGUUUAUAAUUUGCUCCAACCAUUAAUGUUGUUUUUCUUUUUGUUUCCAUAGAAAUGCUUCUUAUUAAAUACCUGAUUGCUUGCUUACACAGCAUAGGUCUAACUUUGGGAGCCUACCUGCAUCACCAUCUGAAAUGAAUUUAACUGGACUGAUCUAUUAUCAAGACUAAGAGACGUGUUCAGUGAGAUGGAACAAUCUACCAACUCAGCUUCUGGACUGUAAAACUUCUUAAAGUUUCAAAAGCGGGACUGUGGGGGAUCAGAAUUAGCCACCCCAAAAUGUGCCUCUUUGGCUUUAUUAUUUUUAAGAACAAAAGACAUUGAAAGAAACUUUGACUUUCCCCCUAAUUGCCUAAAACAAUUCAAGAUAGAAGGCCUGUCUGGAACUGGCCAUCACCAUAGAUAAUUCUGAGUAUGGUGGGCUGGGAGGAUCCUUGCCAAGCCCAUUUUUAUCAAAGUUCUCUCCCAGUUCACAUUGUCUAUAGAUGGCCCAGCAAACAUUUGUUUAUCAAACAUUUGCUUUUCCAUCUCCAUGUGAAUUGCCUUCCUCCCCUUUGAAGUCCCAAACCACUACCCACAACAUCCUCCUUUGUCUUUAGCUGAAGAUGGUAUUUAAAGUGGUGGCUUCAGCCAUUUUGGCGAGUUACUCAGUUUUCCUGGGUUUCUCUCAUGUAUAUGUGUUAUUAAAGUUUGUUUGAUUUUCUCCUGUUAUUCUGUCUCAUGGCAAUUUAAUUCUUAGACCAGCUAGAAGGACCUAGAAGGUAGAGGAAUAGUUCUUCCUCCCCUUCAGUUGAAAAUACACAUACUUUUUGAGCCAGCAGUUCCACUUCUAUUUAUUUACCCUGUGUGUGCACAUGUGCACCAGGAGACCAGAAAAAAGAUGUUCAUAGCAACAUUUUUCAUAAUUGCCACAAACUGGAAACAACCCAAAUGUCCAUCAACAGUAGAAUGGAUAAAUAAUUUCUCAUAAUUUCAUAGACUAGAAUGCUGUAGCGCAACACUGAAAAUGAUGAACUAAUGCUACUACAUCAAGGAUGAAUCUCAGAAACAUAAUUGUAAGGGAAAUGAGCCUGAUACAGAAGGAUACAUGCAUUAUAGUUCUGUUUAGGGCCGGCCCCGUGGCUUAGCAGUUAAGUGCGCACGCUCUGCUGCUGGUGGCCCGGGUUCGGAUCCCAGGCGCACACCGACGCACCUCUUCUCCAGCCAUGCUGAGGCCGCGUCCCACGUACAGCAACUAGAAGGAUGUGCAGCUAUGACAUACAACUAUCUACUGGGGCUUUGGGGGAAAAAAUAAAUAAAAAUUAUAGUUCUGUUUAAAGUUUGAAAACAAUAGUGUUUGGAGAUUCAUAUUUGAGUGGUAAAUCUCUAAUGAAAAGCAAGAAAGUAAUAGCCAUAUAGUCAUGACAGUGGUUUCCUUUAGGGGAGAGGAAAGAAGUUGUGAUUGGGCAGGGGCUCACAGGGAUUUUGGAAGUUCUGGCAGUGUUCUAUUUCUUGAUCUUUGUGGUGGUUUCCUUUAUUAUAACUUGUUAAUUUGUAUAUUUACAUUUUAUGCAUUUUCUGUUUUUUUUCCCUUACAUAAGAAUGUUUUAGAACCUUGAGAUAAUAUUAGGAUCUCUCUCACAGUUUAUUGUGACAAUGAAAUGAAACCAUGUAGAGCUCUUAGAAUAUGCCUGGCACUUUGUAAGAACUUAAUAAAUGUUAACUAUCCAA